rnacentral:rRNA from 1 species
AUUGAACGCUGGCGGCAGGCCUAAUACAUGCAAGUCGAACGCGUGGCGGACGGGUGAGUAAUGUCUGGGAAACUGCCUGAUGGCGGGGGAUAACUCCUGGAAACGGUAGCUAAUACCGCAUACCAUCAGAUGUGCCCAGAUGGGAUUCGCUUGUUGGUGGGGUAUCGGUUCACCAAGGCGACGAUCCAUAGCUGGUCUGCGAGGAUGACCGGCCAAACUGGAACUGAGACACGGUCCAGACUCCUACGGGAGGCAGCAGUGGGGAAUAUUGCGCAAUGGGCGCAAGCCUGAUGCAGCCAUGCCGCGUGUGUGAAGAAGGCCUUCGGGUUGUAAAGUACUGUCAGCAGGGAAGCGUUACCCGCAGAAGAAGCACCGGCUAACUCCGUGCCAGCAGCCGCGGUAAUUC